rnacentral:rRNA from 1 species
UAGGGAAUCUUCCGCAAUGGACGCAAGUCUGACGGAGCAACGCCGCGUGAGUGAAGAAGGAUUUCGGUUCGUAAUACUCUGUUGUUAGAGAAGAACAGCGCAUAGAGUAACUGUUAUGCGUGUGACGGUAUCUAACCAGAAAGCCACGGCUAACUACGUGCCAGCAGCCGCGGUAAUACGUAGGUGGCAAGCGUUGUCCGGAUUUAUUGGGCGUAAAGCGAGCGCAGGCGGUUAGAUAAGUCUGAAGUUAAAGGCAGUGGCUCAACCAUUGUAGGCUUUGGAAACUGUUUAACUUGAGUGCAGAAGGGGAGAGUGGAAUUCCAUGUGUAGCGGUGAAAUGCGUAGAUAUAUGGAGGAACACCGGUGGCGAAAGCGGCUCUCUGGUCUGUAACUGACGCUGAGGCUCGAAAGCGUGGGGAGCGAACAGG